rnacentral:rRNA from 1 species
CCUACGUGCGGCAGCAGUGAGGAAUAUUGGUCAAUGGGCGCGAGCCUGCACCAGCCAAGUCGCUUGAGGGAUGACGGCCCUACUGGUUGUAAACCUCUUUUGCCGGGGAGCAACGGGCGCCACGUGUGGCGCCACUGAGAGUACCCGGAGAAAAAGCAUCGGCUAACUCCGUGACAGCAGCCGCGGUAAUACGGAGGAUGCGAGCGUUAUCCGGAUUUAUUGGGUUUAAAGGGUGCGUAGGCGGAUCGUUAAGUCAGUGGUCAAAUUGAGGGGCUCAACCCCUUCCCGCCAUUGAAACUGGCGCUCUUGAGUGGAAGAGAAGUAUGCGGAAUGCGUGGUGUAGCGGUGAAAUGCAUAGAUAUCACGCAGAACCCCGAUUGCGAAGGCAGCAUGCCGGCUUCCGACUGACGCUGAAGCACGAAAGCGUGGGGAUCGAACAGGAUUAGAUACCCUUGUAGUC